CUGUACUAAGGUAGCAUAAUAAUUUGCCUUAUAAAUUGGGGCUAGAAUGAAUGGUUUGACGAAAAUUAUACUGUCUCUAUUUUAUUUAUUAGAAGUUAAUUUUUAUAGUGAGAAAGCUUGGAUGAUUUAAAGGGACGAAAAGACCCUAUUGAGCUUUAUAUUAUAUUUUAAAUAUAUUUUUUUGUGUUUAUUUAAAUAUAAUUUUGGUUGGGGUGAUCAAGGAAUAAAGUAUAUUUAUGUUAACUUCCGUAAAUAUAUAUAUAAUAAAUUAAUAAACCAAAUUUAUUGCUUAGAAGAUAAGUUACCAUAGGGAUAACAGCGUAAUUUUUUUUGAGAGUUCAUAUUGAAAAAAGAGAUUGCGACCUCGAUGUUGGAUUAAAU
rnacentral:rRNA from 1 species